UGAAAGAACUGGCCCUUUGAAAGAUCCUGUGCAGUUAACAAAGAUGGCAGGAUCUAAAUUCAGUAAGAAGAAUUAUAAAGGAAACUUCAAAUACAAAACAGCAAGUCACAAAUGGAACCGUCUAGGUUACCUUCAAGUGGCAGCCCGACAAUGAUACAUUUUCCCCUUCUUGUGGAUCCAUGUCUGUGCAAACAUAAUAUAUUCUGUAGGUAAGAUCUAGCUAUGGCAGUCAUGUUUCCAAUUGACCUCCAUUGACACUUGCUUCUAGUGA
rnacentral:sRNA from 1 species